GAUAAUUGCAUGUUUUAGUGUAACUGUUAUCAUGAGUGCAUGGCCCAUGCACACAUGAGUUGUAUGGAAGGGAAAAAUAGUAAUUUUAUGAACCUAAGAAACGUUAUUUUGAUUAUGAUAUAGGCUCGUUGAAAAGAUUGUGAAAUUCUUAGCUUGGACCUGAGCAAAUAGGAUUUCUCUAUGGCACGCGUGGUGACGUGAGGAGUUCUUCAUCAUGGGGUGUAUGGCGUGGGGCAAUCCUAUGGACGAUAAAACGAUCAACGUAGAACGCCAUUUAAAUUAUGUUUUGUUUUAAGGGACUUUUUCCUAAAUUAUCAGUGGGACUCUGUUAUUUAACUUAAUUGGUUUUCUUUGAACUUUGCAUAAAAACCUAUGUUUUAUUUUAAA